rnacentral:rRNA from 1 species
UACGUAGGGGGCAAGCGUUGUCCGGAAUCAUUGGGCGUAAAGCGCGUGUAGGCGGUCCGGUAAGUCCGCUGUGAAAGUCGGGGGCUCAACCCUCGGAUGCCGGUGGAUACUGUCGGGCUUGAGUACGGAAGAGGCGAGUGGAAUUCCUGGUGUAGCGGUGAAAUGCGUAGAUAUCGGGAGGAACACCGGUGGCGAAGGCGGCCCCCUGGUUGGAUACUGACGCUGAGACGCGAAAGCGUGGGGAGCAAACAGG